rnacentral:snRNA from 1 species
CGGAAUUUUUUUUCGCUAAAAUAGAAACGAUACAGAAAAGAUUAGAAUGACCCCUACACAAGGAUGAGACGAACCUUUCUCACUUAGCGACCACCAUGUAU